rnacentral:sRNA from 1 species
UACCGUAAUAAUGAUGGCGAUGAAAAC